AGCGCUGACAUAGAGGCAAACAUUCGUUGAGAAAAUACUUGAAAAUUAUAAUAAAAUUUACAAUAGCUAUUUGAACUAUAUAUCUUUCAUCGCAACACACUUUAUUCCUUUUAUUUUCACAUUAGGUAUACACCUAGGAAACGUCGGGAAGUUUUGACAUUUAAAUAGAAAUUUCAAGUUUAAAAUAUAAAUAGUUCUUUAAAAAAAAUGUAUGUAAAUAAUAAAACUAAGAAGUAAAACAUCCACGUUGCGGAAAGUCGCGAUGGACGCUGAGGAGGUAAACUCAAUUUCCAGGUUUGUUUCACAAACCUCUCCUAUGAUGUUCCGUAGCUCGACAAGCUUCACCAUUCAACACAGCGUAAAUAUGCAUGACAUAACAGCAGCACUCAAGGUGCACAAAGCAAAGCGGAAGCAGAUCACCUUACCUCGUAAAAAAAUAUAUAUCGAACGAGAGAAGCUACGUCAAAUGGAGAUUUCAGCACCAAUGCCGAGCUCAGCGUUCCAAGACCCCUACCUCUCCCAGACAAAUGAAAUGCGAGUCAAAACGAACUUCGGUCGUCUAAAGGCAAACUCACCGAAGCGUAAAACCAACAAAGCGGUAUUACUCCCAAACCAAGUGACGUUGGCCAGGGCACAACAGCAAAAAGCCCCUCUAGCGGUGAAAGUUUUCGAAGAAUGUGUGUUGCCACAACUAAAGGAAAACUUACCGCAAUCAAAGUCUCCCAUUGACAGUGUACUUAGCUUUAAGUUGCAAGCAAGCGUGGACGGCGUUCAGUGUGCUUACUCCAAUAUUUACGAAAUACCACCCGCGGCUCAGACUUGGCGGCGUGGCGAUUGUUUCAAGGACCGCAGCGAAGAAGGCUUGUUGAACGACAUCAUGUAUGAGAUAAUUGUCGUAAUGCUUCAACCACUUAUAGUCGUAUCCUUUCAUCGCCAGACAACAGCAAACAUAUAGAGUAACAAACGCAGUCGAUGGAUGAUGGUGUCGGGGUUAAAAUCGCUUGAGUAAUGAAACUGCGAAAUGCAAGUAAAUAUUUGCAUACAAAAUGAACAUACAUAAUUACCAUUGCAUGCAUACCUAUACUUACGAAUAAUUCGAGAAAUACCAAACACCUAUUUGUGCAUGAGUAUUUAUUUAUUUCUGGUCACUCGAUACUCCUUCAUCUGCAUAAAAUUUCGCUUCCGUAGCUCAUAUGUACGCAAGCUCUUUAAUAUGGACAUUUUACGACUUGCAUGAGUGAAUUGGAAUUUCAUCAAAGAAAUAUGUCGAGCGCUGUAGGCAAAUUAUGGUAAACUUGAUCAUACACAAUGAACAGUCAGUCAGUCAGUCAUUUGUUUUCAUCAUGAAAUUUGUGGCAUGCAAUAAAAGUAAAAGAAGACGAAUGACCAGUUACUCAAGUGUUUGUGGAAAAUUGCAUUGACAGAUGUGGCAUAAAGAAUUCCACAAAUAUUUUAAAGUGUACCACCAAUAUUUAAAAAAUGCUAAUGUUCACACACAUGUAUGCAUUUAUAGGUAUAUGGUAUAUAUCUAUCCUGCAGGGAAAUCUCAAACCGAUUUAGGAAAAUACAAGUUUGAAACAAAAAAUUGUUCAUUGAAAUCAAAUUAGUUAGCAAAGCAUGAAGCUAAUAAGAGUUAGUUAGGAAGUUGCUUUGGAAAGUGAACGGUGUAUCAAUAUUGUUUCAAUAAAAAUACAAAGAACCUAAACAAACAAAGAGUAAAACGGUUAAUGCAAAUAUAUGAUGAGGAGAAGAUUUUGAAAAAAAUUAGGAUUUUUACUUAAUUGCCUAUAAGGAGAUAAAAAUGCAUAUAUGAUUCGAUGUUCAUUAGAAUAUCAGUAGAAUUUGAUCUUUGUAAUAUUUGAUUGAUAAGCCAAUUCAUGCAGUUCUGUUGCCGUUUUCUUUGAUUUAUCACAUGAACACAAAGAUGUCAUGUAGCCAAAUUUUCAUGGGUAUAACAGAUACUUCGAUUAACUACACUUUGAGACCGUCCAAAAUUAUUUUGUGGAUAUUUUUCAUAUUCUCGACCAUAAUAGCACUCUCUAUACUUCACUAUGUGCUUUUUCUGGCACUAGGCAACGAUAAUACUCAUCAAGCCUCUUUUUGUAAUCAGCAAUACUUUUUUUCAACAAACAAAAUUACGAACCAAUUGCCGGACACAUGUGAAAUUUAAACGCAUGAUUUUUGAAGGUUAGGUUUAACUUCAAAAUGUGUGCAGAUGUUACUACCGAGUAUAAUAGUUUUGUUUACCUAACGGUGAAACCUAACCUAACACCUAAAACCAAUCGAGAUAGAUAUAGAGUUAUUUAUAUAAUAUAUAAUUAUUAGGAUGUCGAGUUGAAUUUCGGAUGACUGUCUGUCCGCCCUUCCGCCCAGGCAAGCAAUAUUUUGAAUAUAAAUUGAGAUAUCGUGAUGAAACUUUGUAAACGUUUUCCAUGGUACCCAAGGGGAGUUGGUAUCGCAGACGGGCAGAAUAGGAGGUUUGCCACGCCCAUAAAAUCCCGUUAAUCGCAAACUCAUAACGUAUUAUGACCAAGCCCCAAAUUAGGACAUAUUUGAUAAAGGGUGGUGAGGGCAUCUGUGAGCUGCAAAAAUUUUCAAUUUAUGUACAUGUCUCACUAACCAAACGUGUCAAGAGAUGCGAUGUCAAAAGUGGGCGUCGCACCGCCACCUUUAGUAUGAUGAGCUUUCAUACCCGACAAUAAUCCAAACCAAUGGGCACGGUUCGCGUAACACCCUGCUUUAAGAGGAGUGGCAGUGCUUAGUUACUGCCCGCUCAGCAGGUCAUUCCAAUCAGAUCAAAAGUUGGCAGUCUAGGUUUACACUUCGUAUCUAAACUUAACAUUUCUGGAUAAUGCUGAUGAGUAAACAGUUAAGCCUCCACACCAACGACAAGGUGACCACCAUCGAGGUACCCUCAUAUACCUAAUAGAAAGUUUUUCGAAUUUCCGGUUUGUAUAUGGCUACGUGUGCAUGGGUGUUGCUGCCGUUAAACUUGCUCAACCAUUACCGUUAAUAUCUUAAUAAUAAAAACUUAUUUACAAAGCCUGUUGAA